CGAGGCGUGGCCGAACAGUCAAGCAUCUCACUUACACCGAGAAGAUAUCCAUGCAAAUUGGAUCGCCCCGA
rnacentral:tRNA from 1 species